rnacentral:lncRNA from 8 species
AUGGCUUCUGUCAGUGACCUGCAAGCUCGACGAGUUGAAAUUAAUAAUACACGCACUCUGUUGAACUCAGAAGGCGUUUAUGAAGCAGCAGAAGAUAAUUCAUCCCAGAUCAUUCUGGAGACCCCCGAUCCUGAUAUCGUCAAAACAAUCUCACAUUAUUUCGAGGCUGCUCUCAGUGGGCAGGAAUAUGUGUUAUCCCAUCCCGUCACAGACCAUGGCACUGACUCUUCAGCAGACAGUAGGGAUUCAGGGGACAGCCUGUUCAUAACUCAAGUGCCAGUGUCUGAGGUGGUGAGGUCUGUGAGAAGAUGUCACUCAAAGGAGAGGUCAGAGUUCACAUGUACCAUAGAAUCAGAGGAUGAGAGUGGGGCGGAAGAUGGACCUGCCACUCCCCAAAAGAAGCAGCAGGUCUCACAUGCAAUGAAACAUCACAAGAGGAAAGCAGAGAAGCAUGGCCUGAAAAAGUACUCCUUUCCCUUCCUGGGGAGCAUUUACAGAAGUAAACCCCUAUCUAGUCGAGAGAGGGCUUACAGAAACACACACCUACCACUAUUAAACAGUGUGACCUUCUCGAGUAAGGCAAUUGGAGGCUUUUUUAGAUGCGUCAAAACACUGAAGAAGUUCUCUAAAGGAAAAGCGACGUUAGCCUCAGCUUUACCAAACAGAUAUCUGGAUGAGGAAGGUGAACUGUCUCCACUGUCAGAACAGGAGGAGGAAUCUGAAGGUAGUGAUGAUGACAUCAGAGUGGUGGAAAAUACACUUUUAAUGCCAUUCCUGAAAAAGAAAAAUAGGGGAACUUGGCGUCAUCCGUCAUAUGAAGCUGAAAAGCAAUGCAGAAAGUUUUCAUCUGUAAGCAAAUACCUCACCAAAGACUCCACAUCUGUUAGCAAAGACUCCACCGCCAAGACAAAGAAACGGAGCACAAAGAAAACACAACACCUCCCUCAUGUCAAACACACUCUUUCCUUGGUUUCCAAAAUGAUUAAAGACACACCAUCAAAGCGGAAUUUUGCUGGGUCACGGCGAAUCGUACCUGAGAAAUGUAACAUGGCAGAAGAAGAGACUAACCCAGAGUCAGUCAGUUGCGUUAGAUGUUCAUCUGGUAGGAGUUCGGUCCGCAAUGAAACAGAAGAACCUAGUAUACAUUUAGCUGACAAUACAGAUGGACAGGAAGAAAACGACAACAUGGACAUUUCAUUGACAGAAUGGAAGACAAUGCUGAAUAUCGGAUUUGUCAGUGAGGAAGUAGAGGGGAGUAGAAUAGACCAGGCAGUGGACAUAACGAGUUCACCUAUUAAUGAAGUGCAGGAAAGUGAAGGAAGCUGUUUGGAGAGGACCCAAGUGGGCAGAGCCAUGACCCCCAGUGUGACUGAGCGGAGCCCUGAUCGUAACCAUCAGAACCAGACAAGGGAAACAGAGGCUGAUCCUGGAAUUAAAGGUCACAACCCCCCUUCAACAGAUCCAGAGCUCACAAAUGACUGUACAAAUGUUGAUGCUGAGGGAGGCUAUGAAAAGAAGAGGAAGAAAAAGAACAGGAAAAGAGAGGGAGGAGAUGAUAAAAGUAUAGAGGACCGAGUUGGGCAGCCUCCAUGCCAAGAGGCUCCAGAUUAUCAGGAACUAGUCACCUGUGUGAGUACAAGCACCAUACAGGGAGGAGAGGCUACUGAGAUAACCCAGGAUAACAAGGCAGAGCAUUCUGUGUCUGCGUCUGGUGAAAUGAUUAUGCCACAGAAAAAGAAGAGAAAAAAGGAGAGGAGGAGGGAUUCACCAUGCCAUGCUGAUACAGAUAUAGGCCUAAGACAGGAAGAGAACCCAAAGCUAUCAUCCCAUGCUGGAGGUGGUGCUAUAGUUCAGACUGAAGACAUAGAACUGAAGAAAAUGAAGAAAAAAUAUAAGAAUUCCACAGCACAUGCCAUCCUGGAGGAAGGACCAGAAAAAGGACAUUUUCCAAAUUUGAGUUUGGAAUCACAUUUAGAUGAGGUAAUAAGACCCCAAAAGAGAACAAACAUUUCAACCCUCCCUGAAGAUACUGUCACAAACCUACAGGUAAAUGCUACUGAUAUAAGACAGAAAACAAUUGAGUGCUCUAUAGUCCAACUUACUAAAUUGGUAGCCCAGAGAAAGAAGCAUAAAACCAUGGCACCAAUAGACAAUUCUUUGGCACAGAGUGACGGAACAAUUUAUUUUAGGAAAAAGAAAAAGGCAAAGAAAGAUGGGGAUUCCUGUAGCAAUAAAAUGGUGGGAAAUUAUACUGAAAUUCCUCUGACUACAAGUACUUUAUCUCAAUCUGGUGAAAUCGAUACACUGGAGAAGAAAAAACGCAAACGAGAUAAGAAGCAGAAUUCUGACAUUCAUGAAGAUUCUGAGGCCAGACCCAAAGAGAAUGUUGUGACCCAUCAGAGGUCUGAAGACAUGGUCACGGAGAAGAAGAGGAGGAAGAGGAGGAAAUCUUCAACUGACGAUGGCGCCGUUGUUCGACAACAAGAGGAUAAUAUAAAAAAAUGCCAUAUCACCCUCAAGAGUUCUGUGUCUGAAUCCAUUGACACUGUGCCACCAAGAAAAAAGGGGAAGAAAGAUAGGGAUUUAGUAACUCCUUUGAGCACAGAGGAGAGACAUCAAAAGGACAGCAUACCACCUGAAACAGAUGAGAUCAGUAGCCCAAGAAAGAUGAAGAAGAAAAAGCGAGAUGGGUCUAAAGACACUUGUUCUGUCAUACACAAGGAUACAGCAGCUCCACUGGAAAAAGAGAGUAUUGGCAUAUCUUUGGAGGGGUGUGAGAGUUCUGCUUUGACUCCAGAUGAUACAGUUUCUCAGAGAAAAACUAAGAAAAAUAAGAAUUCCCUCACUAAACAUGAUCCUGAGGGAAGACUGAAAAAUUAUGCAACUAAAGUAUCUCAGAGGAUGAGCGCAACUGUAAAAAAUUCUAGACCAGAAGAGAAAAAAAAGAUAGAUACAACUGAAGUGAGACUUGAAGCUGAAAGUGCCUUUAUAUCCUCAGAGAGAAAGAGGAAAAAGACAAAGAGGAGGAAAUCCACUGAUUACAAAGUACCAGCGGUAGGACAUCAAGAUAAUGAUAACACUGCAAUACUAAUUGAAACGACCCAGAGUUCUAUGACCCAAUACACAGAAACAGAGUCACAGAAAAAGAAGAGGAAGAAGAAGAAGAAGAAGAAGAAAAUAAAUGAUAACACUGCAAUACUAAUUGAAACGACCCAGAGUUCUACGGACCAAUACACAGAAACAGAGUCACAGAAAAAGAAGAGGAAGAAGAAGAAGAAAAUAAAUGAUAACACUGCAAUACUAAUUGAAACGACCCAGAGUUCUAUGACCCAAUACACAGAAACAGAGUCACAGAAAAAGAAGAAGAAAAUAAAUAGAAAAACUAACAAGGAAUCAGUUGCCCCGAAGCGCACAGAUGGAAGACAGACCGGGGAGAUGUCAGAGGUGACGUCAGACUGUCUGCCUUUACCACAGAUUAAUCCUGAUCCUGUAUCAAUCUCCCAUGAACUGGUUUCAUCAGCAGAGAAGAAGAAGAAGAAGAAGAAGCAUGGAAAAGACAAGAGGAUGAUGUAUGUAUGA